rnacentral:rRNA from 1 species
GGGCCCGCACAAGCGGUGGAGCAUGUGGUUUAAUUCGAUGAUACGCGAGGAACCUUACCAGGACUUAAAUGUAAGUUGCAUGAUUCAGAAAUGAAUCUUUCUUCGGACUACUUACAAGGUGCUGCAUGGUUGUCGUCAGCUCGUGCCGUGAGGUGUCAGGUUAAGUCCUAUAACGAGCGCAACCCCUAUCGUUAGUUGCCAGCAAGUAAAGUUGGGAACUCUAGCGAAACUGCCGGUGCAAACCGUGAGGAAGGUGGGGAUGACGUCAAAUCAUCACGGCCCUUACGUUCUGGGCUACACACGUGCUACAAUGGCCGGUACAGAAAGCAGCCACUUUGCGAAAAGGAGCUAAUCUUCAAAGCCGGUCUCAGUUCGGAUCGCAGUCUGCAACUCGACUGCGUGAAGCUGGAAUCGCUAGUAA